AUUUGUACCAUUGAGUCUUUUCAUAACAACCGGGGCCUGAUGACGGAAGGAGGAUCAGGAAUAGAACUUGGACCUGCUGCACCUGCUGAUACAACAGCGCUGGACCAAUCAGGGGACAGAAGACACAGAGGACAGUAGAGACAAAGAAAAUCCUGCUGGAAAUCCAGAGAAGUUGUUUCCUGGUGGAACAGGAGGACAGGACACAGAAUAAAGAGACAGAUUGUGUGAAGUUGGAUCUCCUGAGCCAGUAAUCCUCCACCUUCAACACUAGCAGUCAUGUGAAGGAAGAUAAGAGAACCUAGUUGACAAAAAAAGUAAGAACA